rnacentral:lncRNA from 10 species
GUUUUGACAAGUGAAAGGACAUGAGAUUUAGGAGGGGCCAAGGGUGGAAUAAUGUGGUUUGGCUCUGUGUCCCCACCCAAAUCUCACCUCAAAUUGUAAAACCCAUAAUCCGCACAUGUCAAGGGUGGGACUAGGUGGAGAUAAUUGGAUCAUGGCAGCAUUUUACCCAUGCUGUUCUCAUGAUAGUGAGUGAGUGAGUCUCACAAGAUCUGGUGGUUUUAUAAGCAUCUGAGAUUUUCCCUGCUUGCACUCACUCCAACCUUCUGCCCUGUGAAGAAGGUACCUGCUUCUCCUUUGCCUUCUGCCAUGAUUGUAAGUUUCCUGAGGCCUUGCCAGCAAUGCAGAACCGCUGGCCUCAAACUCCUUGGCUCAAGUGAUCCUCCUGCCUCAGCCUCCUGAGUAUCUGCGACCACAGGCACAUGCCACCAUGCCCAGAUCUUCAUAAAUUUUUAAAGACCUCGAAAGAUAUCUACUGUAGAAGACUCUUAGUUUUUUUAAAAAAUUUUUUUAAUUAAAAUUAUUGAAGUGAAUAGUAUACACUCUGAGUUAACUUGAUGUAGUAUAACCAUUGUGAUAGUAUUUCUAAAAUAUGCUAUGGAAUAUGUUGGCUAAUUAAGUCUUACUUAUUAUUUACCUGUGGCAAUGGCAAUUUAUUUGGAUUUGUGAGAAAAAAAAUUUACAGUGUAUGAAAGUUCUAACAUAUGCUAAGACUACUCCUGCUCCUUCUUAACCACAAAAAUUUAAUGUAAGGUGUUUCAAUGGGAAUUCCACCAGCCUCCUCCAGCUAAAUGUUUUUCUUCUAAAACACUGUUUUAGGGAAGUUUCCAUUAAGAUGGGUUGAGGUAGAAUUAGGAUUAAAAUAAUAAACCAAAAAAACUUUAUGCAGAAAAAGUGAAAGCUAAGGGAAGUCCAGGGUAUGUCAAUGAUUGCCGAAUAAAAGAAGAACGGAAAUGUGAUAUGAAUGUGUAACUUUUAGCAUGUAUUCCCCUAAACCAUUCCUACCGUCUGCUAUAUUCAUUAUCAACUCCAAAGUGGGGAAAAAAGAAGUAAAAGGUUUUGUUGUCUUGCUCUACUAGCUGCGUUUUUAAAAUAGUUGGCUUGUCCUCGCUAGUUGGAGGUGUCCAAAAUAUCAUAGAAUUGGAUGAAAGAAAUGAAUAUUUGAACCCUAAAGCAAUUCACAUUCCUGAAUUGUGUGUGUGUGUGUGUGUGUGUGUGUGUGUGUGUGUGUGUAUGUGAGAGAGAGAGAGAGGGUACUAAGACAAAAAUUAAGUAUGUUUAUUUAAUUAAUCUAGUAAAUAGUAAAAUUAUCCAAAGAUACUGAAUAAAAAGGCACAGGCACAGGAAAAACAAAGGAAUUGUAUUAUCUAACCCACAAUUACCAAACUGAGUAGUCUUUUUUUAAUUCUUUAUAGAUGCUCUCCUAUCAUUCAGUUAUGGAGAGGUCAGUCUGAAUUUAUUUUCUAAGAAAAUAGAUCUUAUUAACAUACCAUAUAACUCUUCAAGGCAGCUCUUUCUAAAAACAGUAUUACCACCAUGCAGUCUUAAGUACCCAUACUCUGGGAACUCUUAGAGGGAAUGAGAUGAUUAGGGGAAAAAAAGAUGGAAAUCAGAUCUACUCGAAAGAAAGACAUUAUGAGGAAACUUGAAACUAUUGAAUACAGAGAAGUUUGAGAAUCUUUCUUAAUCUUAAUUAUUUGUUCUGUAUUUACCUCCUUUUAUCACUGAUAAUGUAGUUUUCUGUACCCAAUAAAGGUAAAUGUAAG